rnacentral:rRNA from 1 species
GUAGGGUGCGAGCGUUAAUCGGAAUGACUGGGCGUAAAGGGUGCGUAGGCGGACUGUUAAGACGGAUGUGAAAUCCCCGGGCUUAACCUGGGAAUGGCAUACGUGACUGGCAGACUAGAGUAUGGCAGAGGGAGGUGGAAUUCCGCAUGUAGCAGUGAAAUGCGUAGAGAUGUGGAGGAACACCGAUGGCGAAGGCAUCCUCCUGGGCCAAUACUGACGCUGAAGCACGAAAGCGUGGGGAGCAAACAGGAUUAGAUACCCUGGUAGUCCACGCCCUAAACGAUGUCAACUAGUUGUUGGGGAUUCAUUUCCUUAGUAACGAAGCUCACGCAUGAAGUUGACCGCCUGGGGAGUACGAUCGCAAGAUUA